CAGAUUGUUCAGGAGAGAUCAACAUAGGAAGGAGAGAGGUAAAGUGAGUAUCUGUCUCUUUCUAGGAAGCGAUAAGGCAAGACCUAUAGGAAGAGGAGAUAAACGAAGAGGCAACUCGAGGACCUACCAAUAAGGUAUUUCCUAGCCAGAUGAACAAGCACCUUCCAAUGGCUCUUUUCAAGAAUGCCUUUGAGAUCCCCUUUUUUGCUCCGUAGAUAGAAAUCUGCGAAAGCCAACCAAAUCGGAGCGACGCAAGGAGCGGAGAUGCGGUAGUUCGUUUUUCACGUUUAAGCACUUCAAAACUUUCUUUUUGUUCUACUAGCCUGCUUGUGCGCCUGUUGCUGGGCAUCAUACCUACUAGGAAGCAUAGCGGGCGAAGGACGAGAGACGAAAGCAGACGUCAGUGAAGCUGGUCUCUUCCCGUUCCACUGCCCUUCCAUAAACAGAAUUUCUCUAUCCAAUAAAUCCAAGAGGGAUUCGACUGAAAUCGGGGCGCCAUCUUUCUAUUCUUUACAAUGGCUAACAUUAGUCUGCCAGGUACUAAUGGAGGAGGGGGACAGAAGACUGAUCAGCUGACUUUGAAAAUGGCUUGAGAGAGACAGAUGUUGAGUAGGGGGCAUAUGGCAGUCGUCAAAAGUAGAAAAGAUUUGAGCUUGUAAAUCUUUGUGUGGACCGGCUAACCAGUAUGCUCUAGUCUAUUUUCAUGUUCUGAUCUCUCCAUUAAAUGUAUCCUACGAGUGGAUCUCCUAAAAUCAAUAGCAUUUCGUCGGAAUACAUCCUGUCUUUUCCAAAGAACAAAGGAACGGGACCAAUCUCACUCAUCCACAUCCCCCUUUCUCGAAGAAUCGAAUUACAGACAAGGUGGUCAUUCUCGAUAGCAUUAUUCCAACAAUAAAAGCCACCGUGCGCAAAAGGCAGGACUGAACAUAUUCGGCAAGCUGAUACUCCAAAAUCGGCUUGGGAUACUCUGGCAAAUAACUUUGCCAAGACUAAUGAUGCUCGACUUCAGCUCUUGGAGCAUCGCCGGGGAGCUCUUGGCAGCGCGAAGGUUGUCGGCCCUGAAUACAUCCCAUUUCAUCCACCCUUUCUUUGAAUCUCAAGUCUACCGGAGCGAGAGCUUCAUCGCCGCUUCGUCCUCACUUUUCUUUUAGCUCCUUUAGAUAUUAUUUAAGCUUUCGCUUCUUUAUAUACGACAUUUUUAUAUUAGCGAGCUGCCCACCCCUGCUCAUCAAUCGGUGCCAAGCGAUAAGCCAAGUGAGAAUGAAUAGAAAGAGAGAACAGGGAUACUUAUGAUCCUUACAGAGGCUGCUCCUUAAUAUGAAUGAAAGAUCUCCAUAAUAUGAUCUUCUUAGAAUCUCAGUUUAAGGUUGGCUCGUGUUUCUUUGGAGGGUUUCAGUUCAAUUUUUGAUUUGGUGACUUAAGAACUCUAUUUAUUAUCACACUUACUCCUUCUGUCUGAUGACAAUCGGGAAUACCUUGCUAGCGAAGUAAGCAAUCAAAGGGAUGCCAUUAGUUUCAUUAAAAGGCACACUUCGCCUGUUCCCGAUGGAAGACUGGAAUUCCUUUAGUACUAUAAGCUGCUUUUCAACAAAGCUGAUUUGUCGCUGGAAGAAAAAUCUUGGAUUGUGUGUUGCUCGAAAAGCACAUCAGCCCAUACAAGUAGAAAUCUCAAUGUUAGGUACAGACCCCAACAUUCCAGUAGAAAUCAAAUAUCUAAGCCUUGGGCUGAACAGAAUGAAUUCUUAUCGGUGUUUCUGCUCGCUCUGUAAGUCCACUAGCUAUUAGAGGCGCGCUACGGCUUUCCCUAUCUCUUGAAAAAACUAAAAAGAGUCAACUCAUCUCUGCGAAUCGCAUUCAAGUAUAGACUCGUUAUGAAAGGUCAACCAACCCCACCCGGCUCUGGUUCUCUACCAAGAAGAAAGCCCUUUCUCAAAAAAGGCAUGCUUGCCCUUUCUUGCCAAGAGAGGGUGCAAGCACUUUGAGUGCACAAGCACAUACACUCGCUGCCCAAGUAGUUCGAUUAGUUCCGUAUCCUACACUCGCCUGCUUGAAAGCCAAGGCCCCCUUAACUUAACCCAUGGUUUCGAACUCUCGCCUGCUAUUAUGAAGCCUCUCCCCUGCUAUUAUGAUUUCGAAAUGUGGGAAUGUUCCCCUAUACUAAUAUUCGCCACAAAUCCAGAAAAGGGUAGCUACUGGAGUUAGAACAUUUGAAUU
rnacentral:lncRNA from 1 species